rnacentral:rRNA from 1 species
GACGAACGCUGGCGGCGUGCUUAACACAUGCAAGUCGAGCGGAAAGGCCCUUCGGGGUACUCGAGCGGCGAACGGGUGAGUAACACGUGAGUAAUCUGCCCCUCACUCAGGGAUAACCGCGGGAAGCUGCGGCUAAUACUUGAUAUGACCACGUCUCGCAUGGGGUGUGGUGGAAAGCGUUUAGUGGUGAGGGAUGUGCUCGCGGCCUAUCAGCUUGUUGGUGAGGUAGUGGCUCACCAAGGCUUCGACGGGUAGCCGGCCUGAGAGGGUGACCGGCCACACUGGGACUGAGACACGGCCCAGACUCCUACGGGAGGCAGCAGUGGGGAAUAUUGGACAAUGGGCGAAAGCCUGAUCCAGCAACGCCGCGUGAGGGAUGACGGCCUUCGGGUUGUAAACCUCUUUCACCUCUGACGAAGCGCAAGUGACGGUAAGGGGAGAAGAAGGACCGGCCAACUACGUGCCAGCAGCCGCAGUAACAC